CCUACGGGAGGCAGCAGUGAGGAAUAUUGGUCAAUGGACGAGAGUCUGAACCAGCCAAGUAGCGUGAAGGAUGACUGCCCUAUGGGUUGUAAACUUCUUUUAUAUGGGAAUAAAACGUUCCAAGUGUGGGAUUUUGUAUGUACCAUAUGAAUAAGGAUCGGCUAACUCCGUGCCAGCAGCCGCGGUAAUACGGAGGAUCCGAGCGUUAUCCGGAUUGAUUGGGUUUAAAGGGAGCGUAGAUGGGUUGUUAAGUCAGUUGUGAAAGUUUGCGGCUCAACCGUAAAAUUGCAAGUGAUACGGGCAGUCUUGAGUACAGUGUAGGUAGGCGGAAUUCGUGGUGUCGCGGUGACAUGCUUAGAUAUCACGAAGAACCCCGAUUGUGAAGGCAGCUUACUAAACUGUGACUUACAUUGAUGCUCGAAAGUGUGGGUAUCAAACAGGAUUAGAUACCCGUGUAGUC
rnacentral:rRNA from 1 species